rnacentral:tRNA from 1 species
AAAUAAGAAACAAUAUAUUUGUAUUUAGUUUCGACCUAAAAUUUUGAUGAUAAAAUUCAUCCUUAUUUG